ACAUCAAGCUGUAUCGCCACCGAUAUCUGAGAAUUUCCCUCCUGGAUCAUAGACACCGCUCGUGCUGCCGUUUCCACAUCCAUGUGAACGCGAGACCUAGGCAUAAAUAAUCACGAAUAAUACUAAAUUCAAAAUUUAAAAAAAAACGAUGUGCAACAGUAACAUUCAGAAUGAGACUAUGAACACAAGUGAUUGAGAAUUUGAAAAAAGGGAUUGAUUUUUACCAAAUAGUAACAAAGAACCGACGUAAGAAAAAUCAAGCAAGUACAAGUAAAACAAAACCGAUUACAAAUUGGUCCAUCUGUUUGAGAGCGACCAUACCACAGAUUGUCACAUACAUAGACAGACAUUGGCGUCAAUCAUACAACACAUCUCUUUUUCGUCGGGGGUUAGUAAUUUUUUUUUUCAAUUUGUAUUUUUUUUUUUUUUUACUUUUAUUAUAAAAGUUAAAUAAAUCUUGGAUAUACUGGCCUUUUUAUUCCGUUUUAAUGAUAUAUUGUGACCACCUUGUAAACUUAUAACUCUAAAAAUCACUUCUGUCUAAUUUAUUAUUAUUUAUAGUAUAUUGAUAGGAAUUAAUUAAAAAUUGUUAAUUUGUACAUUAUUCUAUGUAUUAAAAUUAUUUUAAUAUCACAGAAAAUAGCACAAUUUUUUGUAAAUUGACGUAUUUAUUUGACUAUUUGGAGAAUUUUUUGGUUAAUAAUAUAGUAAACGAAAGGAAAUCAGUUAAUAUCUUAUUUUAUGUAAUGUGUCCACUGUGAAUUAAAUAACGUCAAAAAUGUUAUCUUGUGGCGAUCUGGACUAAUACAUAAAAAAUGAAUUAUUACAGAUAUUAUGUGUAAGAUUUUAAAUUAACACAAUUAACAUUUAAAAAAAAAAUGUUUAAUUUAAUACAGGUUUUAAUGUUUAUUAAGACGUGAAUCGAUAAUUAUAAACGUUUUCACAUUUUUUAUUCAAUUGAUUGAUUGCCUUAAUGUACUAAGUACCGUAUAGCCAUAAAAUAAUAUUACUCGAAAAAUGUCAUGUAUAAUUACACAAAUUAUAAUAAGAAUUCGAUGUACAUAUUAAUGUAGCAAAAUUUAAAAAUUAAUAAUACCUGUGUACAAUACUAUGUAUUACAAAACAAAAGACAUGAUUAGACAUGUUUUUGUCCUUUGUAUGUUAUAUAUCUGAUUGACCCUGUAAAAUCCUACUACUGGGCGUAGGCCUCUUAUCCAUGUGGGAGAAGGGUCGGAGCUUAAACCAUCACGCUGCUUCACUGUGGGUUGGCGGAUAUAGUCUCUGAGGAACAAUCGCUAUCAGCAGGCCUAGCAUGCGCGCCACGACAAAAUUUUGUCUACCCCUUUUCUCGUAUUAUCUAUCUAUGUCUACAGUAGCUAACAUGCGUGCACGUGAUACUCUUCUCGUUACGUCAAUAGAAGAGAUAAUCAUUAAAUUUUAGUGAUCUGUGAUAUUUAUCUCUACGGAAGCUAACAUGACAUCGUAAUUUUGUCGAAUUUUGACGUUUUAAGAAGAGAAACUUCUCGUCUUCAAUAUUAUCGACGAGAAAGACGAUAAAUAAAAAAUAAAUAAAACCGGGUGCCUAUUUUUUG
rnacentral:misc_RNA from 1 species